rnacentral:rRNA from 1 species
ACCGGAAGUAAAAACAGCGUAACAAGGUCUCCGUUGGUGAACCAGCGGAGGGAUCAUUAC